GACGAACGCUGGCGGCGUGCCUAAUACAUGCAAGUCGAACGCUUUUUCUUUCACCGGAGCUUGCCCCACCGAAAGAAAAAGAGUGGCGAACGGGUGAGUAACACGUGGGUAACCUGCCCAUCAGAAGGGGAUAACACUUGGAAACAGGUGCUAAUACCGUAUAACACUAUUUUCCGCAUGGAAGAAAGUUGAAAGGCGCUUUUGCGCUACUGAUGGAUGGCCCCGGGGUGCAUUAGCUAGUUGGUGAGGUAACGGCUCACCAAGGCAAAGAUGCAUAGCCGACCUGAGAGGGUGAUCGGCCACACUGGGACUGAGACACGGCCCAGACUCCUACGGGAGGCAGCAGUAGGGAAUCUUCGGCAAUGGACGAAAGUCUGACCGAGCAACGCCGCGUGAGUGAAGAAGGUUUUCGGAUCGUAAAACUCUGUUGUUAGAGAAGAACAAGGAUGAGAGUAAAAUGUUCAUCCCUUGACGGUAUCUAACCAGAAAGCCACGGCUAACUACGUGCCAGCCGCCGCAGUAA
rnacentral:rRNA from 1 species